GACGAACGCUGGCGGCGUGCUUAACACAUGCAAGUCGAGCGGUAAGGCCCUUUCGGGGGUACGACGAGCGGCGAACGGGUGAGUAACACGUAAGUAAUCUACCUUCGAGUGGGGAAGUAACGUCCGGAAACGGACGCUAAUACCGCAUAAUGCAGCGGCAUCGCAAGAUGACAGUUGUUAAAGAUUUAUCGCUUGAAGAGGAGCUUGCGGCAGAUUAGCUAGUUGGUAAGGUAAUGGCACCUAAGGCUACGAUCUGUAACCGGUCUAAGAGGACGGUCGGUCACACUGACACUGAAUAACGGGUC
rnacentral:rRNA from 1 species